rnacentral:rRNA from 2 species
GCAGUCGAGCGGACCGACGGGAGCUUGCUCCCUUAGGUCAGCGGCGGACGGGUGAGUAACACGUGGGUAACCUGCCUGUAAGACUGGGAUAACUCCGGGAAACCGGGGCUAAUACCGGAUGCUUGAUUGAACCGCAUGGUUCAAUCAUAAAAGGUGGCUUUUAGCUACCACUUACAGAUGGACCCGCGGCGCAUUAGCUAGUUGGUGAGGUAACGGCUCACCAAGGCGACGAUGCGUAGCCGACCUGAGAGGGUGAUCGGCCACACUGGGACUGAGACACGGCCCAGACUCCUACGGGAGGCAGCAGUAGGGAAUCUUCCGCAAUGGACGAAAGUCUGACGGAGCAACGCCGCGUGAGUGAUGAAGGUUUUCGGAUCGUAAAACUCUGUUGUUAGGGAAGAACAAGUACCGUUCGAAUAGGGCGGUACCUUGACGGUACCUAACCAGAAAGCCACGGCUAACUACGUGCCAGCAGCCGCGGUAAUACGUAGGUGGCAAGCGUUGUCCGGAAUUAUUGGGCGUAAAGCGCGCGCAGGCGGUUUCUUAAGUCUGAUGUGAAAGCCCCCGGCUCAACCGGGGAGGGUCAUUGGAAACUGGGGAACUUGAGUGCAGAAGAGGAGAGUGGAAUUCCACGUGUAGCGGUGAAAUGCGUAGAGAUGUGGAGGAACACCAGUGGCGAAGGCGACUCUCUGGUCUGUAACUGACGCUGAGGCGCGAAAGCGUGGGGAGCGAACAGGAUUAGAUACCCUGGUAGUCCACGCCGUAAACGAUGAGUGCUAAGUGUUAGAGGGUUUCCGCCCUUUAGUGCUGCAGCAAACGCAUUAAGCACUCCGCCUGGGGAGUACGGUCGCAAGACUGAAACUCAAAGGAAUUGACGGGGGCCCGCACAAGCGGUGGAGCAUGUGGUUUAAUUCGAAGCAACGCGAAGAACCUUACCAGGUCUUGACAUCCUCUGACAACCCUAGAGAUAGGGCUUCCCCUUCGGGGGCAGAGUGACAGGUGGUGCAUGGUUGUCGUCAGCUCGUGUCGUGAGAUGUUGGGGUUAAGUCCCGCAACGAGCGCAACCCUUGAUCUUAGUUGCCAGCAUUCAGUUGGG